GUGCUGCUCACACACAAAAAAGAAGCCUAACUGCCAUUGCUUUUCAAAUUUUGCAGAGCUCUUGGCUUGUAGCUCUGAAGAACAAGUUUAAAAAUGAAAGGAGGAAACUGCAAAACAACCAUGAAGUGCAAAAGCAGCGGGAAAAGUUCGGGAGCCAUCGGCGCCGAGUUAGUAGCGAACGUGCCAACUCCGAGCUACAGCGAACCAGGCGACAGAAUAUUCCACUCGGGACAGAUCAUGAGGAUGAUGCAAGCCUUCAAGCGCACGAAGAAUGGCUGAAGACUGAGCACAAGAAGAGGAGCCCCAAUGAAGAGCAAAUCAAGAUACGCAUGGCAGCAACUUACAAAGGAAGGUGCGCAAAGCUGGCGGUAAUGCCUGUGCAAGCGUCAUUAGAAACAUACCCCUACAUAAUGAUUGCAGAGCGGUUUUUCAGAGACUUCGAAUGUCUCACGCAGCGGCUGGCUCUCUCUGCGGUCCAAGAUGGCAUUCAAGAGGUGGUCAAUCUUACACUCAAAGGCACAAUUUCCACCAGCAGUUCACUUCUUCAGAUUGUGCAACAAAUCCCCCACUUGGAUGAUGUCUGCUCAGCACGAAAAAAGCACCUUUUUGCUGUUGCUGCAGUGCGCAUCAUGUGCCGUUGCCUACGUGAGCCGGAUGGCAUCUCGCAGCUUUU